CGUUCCGGGAUUUUUGGGCGUAAGGGCUCGCAGGCGGUUUCUUAAGUCUGAUGUGAAAGCCCCCGGCUCAUCCGGGGAGGGUCAUUGGAAACUGGGGAACUUGAGUGCAGAAGAGGAGAGUGGAAUUCCACGUGUAGCGGUGAAAUGCGUAGAGAUGUGGAGGAACACCAGUGGCGAAGGCGACUCUCUGGUCUGUAACUGACGCUGAGGAGCGAAAGCGUGGGGAGCGAACAGGAUUAGAUACCCUGGUAGUCCACGCCGUAAACGAUGAGUGCUAAGUGUUAGGGGGUUUCCGCCCCUUAGUGCUGCAGCUAACGCAUUAAGCACUCCGCCUGGGGAGUACGGUCGCAAGACUGAAACUCAAAGGAAUUGACGGGGGCCCGCACAAGCGGUGGAGCAUGUGGUUUAAUUCGAAGCAACGCGAAGAACCUUACCAGGUCUUGACAUCCUCUGACAAUCCUAGAGAUAGGACGUCCCCUUCGGGGGCAGAGUGAGAUGUGGUGCAUGUGUUUUCG
rnacentral:rRNA from 1 species